UCGGGAAUUUUGGGCAAUGGGCGAAAGCCUGACCCAGCAACGCCGCGUGAAGGAUGAAGUAUUUCGGUAUGUAAACUUCGAAAGAAUAGGAAGAAUAAAUGACGGUACUAUUUAUAAGGUCCGGCUAACUACGUGCCAGCAGCCGCGGUAAUACGUAGGGGCCAAGCGUUGUUCGGAUUUACUGGGCGUACAGGGAGCGUAGGCGGUUCGGUAAGCCCUUUGUGAAAUCUCCAGGCUUAACCUGGAAAAGUCGGAGGGGACUGCCGGGCUAGAGGACGGGAGAGGAGCGCGGAAUUCCCGGUGUAGCGGCGAAAUGCGUAGAGAUCGGGAGGAAGGCCGGUGGCGAAGGCGGCGCUCUGGAACGUUUCUGACGCUGAGGCUCGAAAGCGUGGGGAGCAAACAGGAUUAGAUACCCGGGUAGUCCCUGAGCGGGCUGGCAAGGCGCAU
rnacentral:rRNA from 1 species